CCUGGAAAAGCGGACAUAUUCAUCAGAAAAUGGGAGGGAACCAUCGUCCCAAAGAUACUAAAAAUGUCCACAAGUGAACCUGCUGCUGCAUUGCCACCAGUUCCUGAGGAUGAUGUUUCAUGUUACAGAGCUCUUCACAAGCUUGUCCAUCUGCUGCCCCCCACUGCAUCAGGCAGGGGCAAAGGGAACACCAAAUGCAGUGUGAAGUCAGCUUUGGGCUACCUGUUGGAUAUAAAGCCGACUGGAACCAGCAUUUCCAGUGUGCUGAACAAUCCUCCUGAUAGACCAGUGGAACAUCGCCAGCCCCACUUGGUGUGCAUUGGAGAUCCCUCCACCUCCGCCCAAUACAUCAUUGUUGCAGAAAACGACAAACUUGCCAUUCCUCUGAAGGAUAACGGUUUGACCUGUGCCCUUGACAAACUUUUCAAAAUGAUUUGGGUGUGUGAUGUUACAUAUCCUGUCCAGCUCACGUCUGUCUUUCAUUUCUUUGAGAGUGUUUAUGAAGUGCCCCUCUCUGGUGGGAAGAGAGCUAAAGUUGUGGAGCUCAUGGCAAAGCUCCAAGCUAUGAUGUAGCCAGUUUUACAAACAUGUACCUUUGUCCCAGGUGUAAAAUUAAGGUGAAAGAUGUCAGAAAACUCAUCAAUCAUCUUAGACAUGUGCAUGCAUUAUCUGAUGGACAGGAUUACACAAUUAUUUGCAGUCAAAACCUUUGUCAACGAACAUACCAUAACUUUAACUCAUAUGCCAGACAUCUCAGGAGAGACCAUCCUGAUACUCGAAAUUUAAAUUUCAUUGAGACUUUGCCGGACUUGUCACCACCAUCAUGCUCGAAUGCUGAUGAUUGUUCUGAAACUGAUAUUGACAUUUCAGAAGACAGAACUAUGAACUAUAACUAUGAAAAGUGUGCAGCAGAAUUUGCUGCUAAAAUGUACUCAUCUUCCAACUGCACCCUUGCUGAUAUGCAAAGAAACAUGACAUGCUCUAAAGAGCUACUCAGCAGGGUAUUGGAUAAGUUGCAAGAAAAGACUGUAUCUGUACUUAAUAGUCAUGAUAUGCUUUGUAAUGAUUCAGAUGUCCAAUGUUUGAUGGAGGAAUUUGAAAGUGGGAGGAAUAUGUUUGAUGGGUUAGAUACCACCUACAAAAUUAGCAAAUAUUUUUCUGAAAAUCUGUCUCUAGUGAAGCCAAAAGAAAUUUUCUUGGGAUAUCGAAGUGACACAGAAAGAAGGCAGGGUGUAUUAAAACAAGCACUAAUAGCAGAUACAUUUCAGUACAUAUCAGUUAUUGAUACCCUGAGGUUUCUAUUUGAAAAUGAACAAAUGCAAGAGCUUUGUUCUAAGACCAAUAAAAGCGGUGAUGGAAGAAUGUCUGAUUACUGUGAUGGCAUUCGA